rnacentral:rRNA from 1 species
UACGUAGGGACCGAGCGUUGUUCGGAAUUACUGGGCGUAAAGGGCUCGUAGGCGGCCAACUAAGUCAGACGUGAAAUCCCUCAGCUUAACUGGGGAACUGCGUCUGAUACUGGAUGGCUUGGAUUCGGGAGAGGAAUGCGGAAUUCCAGGUGUAGCGGUGAAAUGCGUAGAUAUCUGGAGGAACACCGGUGGCGAAGGCGGCAUUCUGGACCGAUAUUGACGCUGAGGAGCGAAAGCCAGGGGAGCAAACGGG